rnacentral:lncRNA from 1 species
AUGACCUGGACAGUUCAGACUGUGGGAAGACGUCCGCGCUUUGAUGUGAGCCACAAGGUCAGGGAGGGAGCAGGAGAUCCCAGCUUGUCACUGGCUAUGCAGAGCCCUGAGCAAAGAUGGAGGUGUGUGGCCAGAGCAGGAAAGAGCAUCACAUCUAUCAUGGUGACAAGCCAGUCAUGUCUCUAUGUCCAUACUGCUGCUAGCUGGCUGUGCCACAGUCUCUCUUGGCCUCAAGGUCCUUGUCCAUCAAACAGGAAGAUGAGACAGAGGCUAUGAUUUGUGUCUCUAGAUAAUGAAAUCCCUGAGGUCUCUUUUAUUUCCAAGACCAUAAGUUUGGUAGUUAAAAUUAUUUAUUUAGGAGAAGGAAUAAUACCUUCAGCUAUUUGCCUGGAGUUCAUAAUUCCAGCACCUCAGAGAACAGAACUGAACUCGAUAUUCAAACUCAGCUUAGAAUCCUGACUGCUUGUAUGUUUGGUUUCUAAGGUGGGCCCCACAUACAAGGUCCUGGCCAUUCUAGGCCAUUACUGUAUGCCCCUCCAUUCGCAGCACUGUGGAUGACACUCAGGGUUGUUACAACAAAAUGUCAUAGCAUGUGAUGUGUGCCAUAUCUGUGAGAUCUCAUUAAAGCUUCACCAUAGUCCAAAAAGGAGAAAUUUGGGGCAUGGGGAGAUCAAGUUGGGCAGAUUGCCCUCUGGGUUACAUCUAGACAGUGAGGAGGAGGCGAUGGGAGCUUGUGUUCCAAGGCACUAUAUUGUCAGGCAUCUUGAAAGGUGUUCUAUGAUUUCCACCAGCUUUUCUAGAAAGGAUAAGGGUAUCAAGGUUAGGUUCUUUAGGGUAGGAGUCCAUUUUCUGUUUUUCUAGAGUCUUGGGGAGAAUGCAGAGUAGCCCUAAUGGUUUGGGGGAGGAUCAGAAGAAGCACAAAAGAAAAGGAAAGGCCUCUGCAC